UCCCUGGUGGCUCAGAGGUUAAAGCGUCUGCCUGAGAUGCGGGAGACCUGGGUUCGAUCCCUGGGUUGGGAA
rnacentral:tRNA from 1 species